GAGCGCAACCCCUGCYGUGUGUUGUAUCUCUCACACGGGACUGCCGAGAWAAACUCGWAGGMAGSWGGGGACGAYGUCAAGUCAGCAUGGCCCWUACGUCCUGGGMAACACCCACGSUMCAAUGGCCGGUACAACGGGCGGCGAAACCGCGAGGUGGAGCGAAUCCYUUAAAGCCGGUCUCAGUUCGGAUUGUAGGCUGCAACUCGCCUGCAUGAAGCCGGAGUUGCUAGUAACCGCCGGUCAGCACACGGCGGUGAAUAUGUUCCCGGGCCUUGUACACACCGCCCGUCACGUCAUGAAAGCCGAUAACACCCGAAGCCGGUGGGCCAACCGCAAGGAGGCAGCCGUMGAAGGUGGGAUUGGUGAUUGGGACGAAGUCGUAACAAGGUAACCGU
rnacentral:rRNA from 1 species